GGCAGCGCCAAAUUUUCAUCCCCAAAUUAAUAUCUCAGCCCACCUUCAAAUCCGCCUCCACCUCUUUCAAACCAAAAAAAAAAAAUGCCCCCCUCUCCCAAAAUCUAGGGUUUCUCUCGCUCUCUUGAGACCCCUUUUCUGGCUGCUCUCGCUCUUCUUCUUCCUCAAUCCCCUCAAUUUCUCAAGCGGACUCUGAUUCUUCUCUCGUCGACGGUGACCAGAUCCCCGAUUCGUCACUUGAAGAAGUUUUGGAGAAUCCCCAACUUCUCUGCUUCGUCUCCGGUUCCCUUUCAUUGCUUGUGAAAUUUUCACUUGUGAGAUUGAUGUUAUUUUGAAGACAUUAGUAGAGGACGAAGAGCUGAUGGAUCUGCUAUUCUCCUUUCUUGAACCAAACCAUACACACAAUUCCUUAUUGUCUGGAUACUUCAGCAAGGUGGUUGUAUGCUUAAUGUUAAGGAAGACAACAUCACUUAUGAAGUAUGUUCAGAAUCAAUUUUUUAUAUCAGGUCUUUCAGGAGAUGAUAUUAUAAAGAACCGCAUUUUAGAAGCCCUAUAUAGGCGUAUCACGCGCAGAGAAGGAAAAGAAGUGCUUUAGGGUUAUUAUAGUUAUUCCACUGAUACCUUGUUUCCAGGGUGGCAUUGAUGAUGGUGGCGCUGCAACUGUGAGGGCAAUAAUGCAUUGGCAAAUUUGUGAGGUUUGUUUUCGCAAAACAUUUUUAUGCGCAAAUUUGUGAAAUAACUUACAUGGAUCAUGGAAAUAUAUUUCAGUGUCUAUCAUAGAUUCAUAUUACGUUUGAAUGACAUCUCUAUGUUUUCCGACUGAAGAUGAAGCACUUCCUAAAUCACAACCUGAGGUUAUUUAGUUGAUAGUCGUG